rnacentral:rRNA from 1 species
GAUGAACGCUGGCGGCGUGCCUAAUACAUGCAAGUCGAGCGAACAGACGAGGAGCUUGCUCCUCUGACGUUAGCGGCGGACGGGUGAGUAACACGUGGAUAACCUACCUAUAAGACUGGGAUAACUUCGGGAAACCGGAUCUAAUACCGGAUAAUAUAUUGAACCGCAUGGUUCAAUAGUGAAAGACGGUUUUGCUGUCACUUAUAGAUGGAUCCUCGCCGCAUUAGCUAGUUGGUAAGGUAACGGCUUACCAAGGCAACGAUGCGUAGCCGACCUGAGAGGAUGAUCGGCCACACUGGAACUGAGACACGGUCCAGACUCCUACGGGAGGCAGCAGUAGGGAAUCUUCCGCAAUGGGCGAAAGCCUGACGGAGCAACGCCGCGUGAGUGAUGAAGGUCUUCGGAUCGUAAAACUCUGUUAUUAGGGAAGAACAAAUGUGUAAGUAACUAUGCACGUCUUGACGGUACCUAAUCAGAAAGCCACGGCUAACUACGUG